rnacentral:rRNA from 1 species
AUUGAACGCUGGCGGCAGGCUUAACACAUGCAAGUCGAGCGGAGAUGAGGUGCUUGCACCUUAUCUUAGCGGCGGACGGGUGAGUAAUGCUUGGGAAUCUGCCUAUUAGUGGGGGACAACAUUCCGAAAGGAAUGCUAAUACCGCAUACGUCCUACGGGAGAAAGCAGGGGAUCUUCGGACCUUGCGCUAAUAGAUGAGCCUAAGUCGGAUUAGCUAGUUGGUGGGGUAAAGGCCUACCAAGGCGACGAUCUGUAGCGGGUCUGAGAGGAUGAUCCGCCACACUGGGGCUGAGACACGGCCCAGACUCCUACGGUAGGCAGCAGUGGGGAAUAUUGGACAAUGGGGGGAACCCUGAUCCAGCCAUGCCGCGUGUGUGAAGAAGGCCUUAUGGUUGUAAAGCACUUUAAGCGAGGAGGAGGCUACUGAGACUAAUACUCUUGGAUAGUGGACGUUACUCGCAGAAUAAGCACCGGCUAACUCUGUGCCAGCAGCCGCCGUAA